UUCGCCCUUUUCCGGUUGAUCCUGCCGGACCUGACUGCUAUCGGAUUGAUACUAAGCCAUGCGAGUCAUUGUAGUAAUUCAAGGCAGACGGCUCAGUAACGCGUAGUCAACCUAACCUAUGGACGGGAAUAACCUCGGGAAACUGAGAAUAAUGCCCGAUAGAACAUUAUGCCUGGAAUGGUUUAUGUUCCAAAUGAUUUAUCGCCGUAGGAUGGGACUGCGGCCUAUCAGUUUGUUGGUGAAGCAAUGGCCCACCAAGACUAUUACAGGUACGGGCUCUGAGAGGAGUAGCCCGGAGAUGGGUACUGAGACACGGACCCAGGCCCUAUGGGGCGCAGCAGGCGAGAAAACUUUGCAAUGUGCGAUAGCACGACAAGGUUAAUCCGAGUGGUUUGUGCUAAACGAACCUUUUGUUAGUCCUAGAAACACUAACGAAUAAGGGGUGGGCAAGUUCUGGUGUCAGCCGCCGCGGUAAAACCAGCACCUCAAGUGGUCAGGAUGAUUAUUGGGCCUAAAGCAUCCGUAGCCGGCUCUGUAAGUUUUCGGUUAAAUCUGUACGCUCAACGUACAGGCUGCC
rnacentral:rRNA from 1 species